rnacentral:rRNA from 1 species
UAAGCGGAGGAAAAGAAACUAACAAGGAUUCCCCUAGUAACUGCGAGUGAAGCGGGAAAAGCUCAAAUUUAAAAUCUGGCGGUCUCUGGCCGUCCGAGUUGUAAUUUAGAGAAGCGUCUUCCGCGCCGGGCCGUGCACAAGUCUCCUGGAAUGGAGCGUCAUAGAGGGUGAGAAUCCCGUCUUUGGCACGGAUGCCUGUGCUUCUGUGAUGCGCUCUCAAAGAGUCGAGUUGUUUGGGAAUGCAGCUCAAAAUGGGUGGUGAACUCCAUCUAAAGCUAAAUAUUGGCGAGAGACCGAUAGCGAACAAGUACCGUGAGGGAAAGAUGAAAAGCACUUUGGAAAGAGAGUGAAACAGUACGUGAAAUUGUUGAAAGGGAAACGCUUGAAGUCAGUCGCGUCGACCGAGACUCAGCCUUGCCUUGGCUUGGUGUACUUCUCGGCCCGACGGGUCAGCAUCAAUUUUGCCCCUCGGAUAAUGGCAAGGGAAAGGUGGCACCUUUGCGGGUGUGUUAUAGUCUCCUGUCGCAUGCGAGGGGUGGGAUUGAGGAACUCAGCGCGCACCUUUGGUGUCGGGGCUUCGGCCCACGUCACGCGCUUAGGAUGCUGGCGUAAUGGCUUUAAACGACC